UCUCCCGCUCGCCCAUUUUCCUCCUUCUGUCUCCUGGAGGGGAAACUUGUUGGUGGUCAGUCCUCUGCCACGUCAAGCCUCCAGCAAGGUGGACGCAGUGGAGUGCCUUUUUUUUUUAUUUAGGAAGGCAAACAAUGGGGAAAGUUUUCCAUUCCAGGCUUAACCAUUUCCUAUUCAUGUCGAUGUGGAAGAUGAGGAGCCAAGAAAAAAAAAAUGGGACCUAAAGAUGUGAAGAAGAGAUGCUACAGAUGUCUGGAAUGCGCCGCACAGCGGGAUGCUGGGGAGGGAACGUCGUGAAAUCUGCCAAUCAGUGGCUAUCACCUCCGUCUCACCUCUCCUCCUCCUUCUCCUCCCCCCCUCUUCGAAAUGUACCCCUCAUGGACUCGGGUGAGCAAAAGCAUGCGCUCCACUUUUUUUUCUCCCAGGAAAAGUCUUCCAAAUAAAAACAAUCCAGCAUCCUUCAAGCCCGGCCCGCCCGCCCAGUGUUCAGACUACCUGUUCAGGAAGUAGUGGUUGUACAGUAGUCUGCACAUUGGUUAGGCUGGCCCGGGGAAGCACGAGACCAGAAUCAACACUUGGGAAGCAUCCCCAGCCCGACUUCAGAAGCGAGAGAAUCAAUUUGAGUUGUUCUGACUAGACCACAAGAUCCUUAAAGAAACUGACCCAGAUAUGGUACUGUUGAUGUCACCUGAGCACUAUGUUUAACUUGUAAAAAAAAAAAAAAAAAACCUGAAAUAAAGAUCCUUCCCAUUCGUAA